ACUCCUUCUAAAGCUAAAUAUCACCACGAGACCGAUAGCGAACAAGUACCGUGAGGGAAAGUUGAAAAGCACUCUGAAUAGAGAGUCAAAAAGUACGUGAAACUGCCUAGGGCUCAAGCCCGUUGAACUCGAUUAUCCGCACGGAGACAUUCACCUGCGGUGGGUCCGCCCGCCGCAGGGCACUUGUCUCCCGUCAAGAGGACAUUGCGAUCCAUUACGAAACAGCUUUCGCGUCGCAAGACGCAAGGUCGCCCGACAGUUGCCCCUUGGUGCUUGGUUGCUUGCCCCACAGUAGCGACGCUCAGUUCUGAAGGCCUGUGCCGCGAGGUGGGGCUUACUGCACGUGGUGUUUGCAGUCGGGCGCGUGAUGGAUUCCCCCGUACGCCGUCGGUCUUCCCGCACCGGACCGGCGGACCGUCGAUCGGCAAUGACAAAAUCGAGGUACCUUCGGGACCCGUCUUGAAACACGGACCAAGAAGUCUAUCUUGCGCGCGAGCCAAUGGUCGUCCUCCGGAACACCAAAGGCGCAAAAAACAUAACUUGAGUUGUGCGGGAUUACGGGCGCGGCUCUCUGCGGCGUCCCUCCAUCCCCGGGUGUUGCAAUCGGCAUGCGGGGCCGGCGUCUCGGCGCCCGGCACCGUGCCGCAACAUACCGUGAGUGUGCAGGAUGUGACCCGAAAGAUGGUGAACUAUGCCUGAUCAGGUUGAAGUCAGGGGAAACCCUGAUGGAGGACCGAAGCAGUUCUGACGU
rnacentral:rRNA from 1 species